ensembl:snoRNA small nucleolar RNA SNORA38
CCCUCCUACCUAAAACCAUGUCAGUGUUUCCUUGUCUUUGGAUACGUAAGAUUUGGAGGCAAAGAAAUGUGGACUUGGAGAAAUCUGAGGCCAGCUUGCUCCCUGCAGGCUCAAGAUCAACCAUCCCACAUAG